ensembl:lncRNA
CUGCAUAAUUUCAAUAAAACGCCGUUUUAAACGCCGUUACAGCUGGCACAGAACGCCGUAAAAAACGCCGUCUUUAUGCAUCUUUGAACGGCGUUUUCUGCCGAGUGGCGUAAAAAACGGCGUUUCCGUGUGUCUUUGAACGCCGCUUUUUACGUCACUCGGAUGGUGCGUUCAGGGCGCCAUGUGAGAGUCGGAAAAAACGGCGUUUGUCGAAACAGAACGCCGUUUUUUUCGGCGUUUUGAAUAAUUAAACGGCGUUUUUUACGCCGUUUCUUAAUCAAACGGGUUAGAAAAGUGGCGAAUUUUGGCACUAAUGGCUUGCCAUAGAUUUGCGUCGCGAAAACGCCAAAACGCCUGAAACGCGCGUCAGUGUAGCGCGUGGGGCGCGUUUGACUCGCGAAAAAAACCACGCGCGUGAAUUUUUGUGUUGCAUUUUGUGCAUACGCGUGUUUCGCCUCUGCUGCUCGAGUUGGAAAAUCUGAACUCCAGCGUCAAAUCGCGCCGCGACAACCAAUCAGGAGCCUGGUGACGUGGCUGUGACCUAGGUCAAAGGGGCAGAUCCAGCCAAAGCCCUUCAUUCUUUAAUGGAGGGAAGGCUAAUCAACGCCGUAGCAAACAACCCGGAGCUGUACGACACCAGCUGCUUUGUGUACCGAGACAGGAAUAUAAAGGACCGAGCUUGGAGGAAGAUAUGUGAAGAGAUCGGGCAACCUGAACCAACUGAUUCUGCAGCAGAGCAUCCCCUGUUGCUUCUCCUUGCUCCCCAGUCCCUGAGCUCCUGCUGCUGCACCCACAGGCCCAGAGAGGAGGACAGCUCCGAGGCAGAUGAGGGACGGGUCCCAGGACGGUCCAUCGGUGGUGGAGCUGGCCAUCCUGGUGUCCCUGAAGAGGCCACGCCAGUCUGCAAUGGAGCAUUUCCUCCUCAGCCUUGUUCCUGCUCUGGAGAGCAGCUGGGUCCUUUUUAUUCCUGUCUCUGUAAAUACUUAUAUUUUAUAUAUUUAUGUUUAAUGUUUUUCUGUUUGAGAAUUUUAAUAUUAUUUCAAAUAAAUUUUUAUAAUGACUAAUGUCUCAGUUCUACUACACUGCAAAUGUUGGCACACGACUUGACACAUGUAGAAUUUAUUUCAUAUUAUACUAAUGACAAAAUAUACUAAUACAGUGGGAUGCAAAAGUUUGGGCAACCUUGUUAAUAGCCAUUAUUUUCCUGUAUAAAUCGUUGGUUGUUACAAUAAAAAAUGUCAGUUAAAUAUAUCAUACAGGAGACACACACAGUGAUAUUUGUGUUAAAUGUGAUAAAUCAAGCAGGUGCAUAAAUUUGGGCACCACAAAAAAAGAAAUGGAAUAAAUAUUUAGUGUAUAUCAAUGUGUGUGUCUCCUAUGUGAUAUAUGGGGUGCCUUUGUCUGGACGUGCUUCCCAUCCAGAGCUCCACAGCAGAGAGGGAAGUUCCAGCACUCCUGGAAUCCCUCUGUGAUGGACCGCC